GCCCGAGUGGCGGAAUGGCAGACGCGACGGACUCAAAAUCCGUUGUCCGAAAGGGCGUGUGGGUUCGAGUCCCACCUCGGGCACCA
rnacentral:tRNA from 4 species